GCCUUUGACACAGGAGAAACAAGCUAGAAAACAAGUCUUUUUAAUGCAUUUAUAUACACAAGUUAUGGAUAUGUGAGCAAACAUAACAUUUUACAUUUUAAAACAUGCCUCGGGCACAUUUUCUGUGGUUAAAAUGCUGUCUGGAAUAGUAAAAUUAUUAUUUUGUUAGAUCACUCAUCAGGCAGAAGUUUCCAUUUUUUAGUUAGGGUUUUUGUUUUUGUAAAGGAUUUAAGAUGUUGUCUACUCUGUGUGGUGGUGGUUUUACUGGUUGAAAAGUAUUAUGGUAGCAGCCCACAAAUUGAGAAUAAUCAACCACCUUUCCAAUUUCCUGUAACUGGGAACUAGUAGAGGGUUUUUACCAUCCUCUACCCCACAAUUUUGGGUCAUUCCUCACAAUAGGAACUAAUAAAUGUGGCAUUGUUGGGAGAAAAAUCAUGGUUUUACUAACGCUGUGUGACUUGGCUCAAGGCAAGCAAGUAAUGGGGGUCAUGAGCAAAACAGAUAGGAUGUGCUGUAGUGAUUAUUUUCUUCUUCCAGCUGGGAAUCUGGAUACCAGGAUGCUCAGGAUGACCGUCCAGACGGAAAGAUGAAUGAAGAUCCUGUGCCAAGAACUGAAGAAGCCAUGCUGCAGGCAUGAAGGUGGAAGUCAUCCCGAGUAUGGUGGGUCAGGAGGAGGCCUACAUCAGGAAAAAAGGCAUAAUAAUUACUUCGCUGUAAACUGUGAUAACUAUCAAGUCCGUGCUGUUCCCUUUCUCUACACA